GAAGAAGAAAGCAAGCUUGAACUAUUAUGCAUAAGUUCAAAAGAUGGUUCUAUUCAAGGAUAAAGCAAAAGCUUAAGCUCAGAAUGAUCUUUCAGUCCUUUUGCUAUGAUUUCAAUGCGAUCUUUUUAGAACCUGGUUGUAGAAAGUGAUGUAUUGAGUUACAUGCUUUGCUUGCUUUGUCACAGUGAAUUUUAUUCACGUCAAAUGAAUGGUAUUCAACGAGAAGAAAAAAGUAAUUAGUAUUUGUUGUAAAACAUUUUAAUCUCUCGACACCUACAUCUCAUUGAUGAUAGCAAGAUAGAAACUAAUUC
rnacentral:misc_RNA from 1 species